rnacentral:rRNA from 1 species
UACGGAGGGUGCGAGCGUUGUCCGGAAUCAUUGGGCGUAAAGGGCGCGUAGGUGGCGGGACAAGCGUGCGGUGAAAGCCUGGGGCUCAACCCCGGGUCGGCCGUGCGAACUGUUUUGCUUGAGCACUGUAGAGGCAGGCGGAAUUCCGGGUGUAGCGGUGGAAUGCGUAGAGAUCCGGAAGAACACCGGUGGCGAAGGCGACACGCUGGGCCGUACCUGACGCUAAAGCGCGACAGCAUGGGGAGCAAACGGG